AAAGGAAUAGACGGGGACUUGCACAAGCGGUGGAUUAUGUGGUUUAAUUCGAUGGUACACGAAAAACCUUACCAGGGUUAGAUAUUCUAUGGAAAGACCUAGGAAACUAGGUAACUCCGCAAGGACCGUAGAACAGGUGAUGCAUGGCCGUCGUCAGUUCGUGGUUUGAACUGUUCCCUUAAGUGGGGUAACGAACGCAACCCUUGUCGUCUGUUACAAGUGUCAGGCGAGACUGCCCAGCCCUAAGCGCACAAUCACUCAGUAGUGAUGUGAUUGCGAAUUUGGGGCUGGGAGGAAGGCGGGGAUGACGCCAGGUCAGCAUGUCCCUUUGAUGCCCUGGGCUACACACAUAAUACAAUGGGGAGUACAACGGGUCGCGACACAGUAAUGUUGAGCUAAUCCUUAAAAACUCCCCCCAGUUCGGAUUGAGGUCUGCAACUCGACCUCAUGAAGCCGGAAUCGCUAGUAAUCGCGGGUCAGCCAUACCGCGGUGAAUACGUUCUCAAGUCUUGUACACACCGCCCGU
rnacentral:rRNA from 1 species